rnacentral:rRNA from 1 species
CCUACGGGAGGCAGCAGUGGGGAAUUUUGGACAAUGGGCGCAAGCCUGAUCCAGCAAUGCCGCGUGCAGGAUGAAGGCCUUCGGGUUGUAAACUGCUUUUGUACGGAACGAAACGGUGAGCUCUAAUACAGUUUGCUAAUGACGGUACCGUAAGAAUAAGCACCGGCUAACUACGUGCCAGCAGCCGCGGUAAUACGUAGGGUGCGAGCGUUAAUCGGAAUUACUGGGCGUAAAGCGUGCGCAGGCGGUGAUGUAAGACAGAUGUGAAAUGCCCGGGCUCAACCUGGGACCUGCAUUUGUGACUGCAUCGCUAGAGUACGGUAGAGGGGGAUGGAAUUCCGCGUGUAGCAGUGAAAUGCGUAGAUAUGCGGAGGAACACCGAUGGCGAAGGCAAUCCCCUGGACCUGUACUGACGCUCAUGCACGAAAGCGUGGGGAGCAAACAGGAUUAGAUACCCUGGUAGUCCACGCCCUAAACGAUGUCAACUGGUUGUUGGGUCUUCACUGACUCAGUAACGAAGCUAACGCGUGAAGUUGACCGCCUGGGGAGUACGGCCGCGAGGUUGAAACUUAAAUGAAUUGACGGCUUGAGCGNGCGAGGNGACNCGAGGGAGAGG